rnacentral:lncRNA from 1 species
CCUAAGUUUCUCCUAGAUUGGGUUCCCUAUGAGAUAAGGUUCAGUCUAAUCUAUUCAGGCUCUUAAUUUAGCACCAAUUGUUGGUUGCAAUUGACUCCCUUCGAUUGAAUUUGUAUUUGAUUCAAAAUCAAAAUGAGGUUUCACAUGUAAUUGGAUGGGAUGAGAAAGAAGGGAUGCCAAAUGUUGAUGCCCCCUACUUUCUCUAUACAUUCUCUAGA